rnacentral:rRNA from 1 species
UUCGGUGGUCAUUGCGUUAGGGAAACGCCCGGUUACAUUCCGAACCCGGAAGCUAAGCCUUUCAGCGCCGAUGGUACUGCAGGGGGGACCCUGGAAACGCCCGGUUACAUUCC